GCUUCUUUGGCGCAGCUGGCAGCGCGUGAGUCUCAUAAUCUCAAGGUCGUGGGUUCGAUCCCCACAGGGAGCA